UACGAAGGGUGCAAGCGUUAAUCGGAAUUACUGGGCGUAAAGCGUGCGUAGGCGGUUUGUUAAGUCCGAUGUGAAAGCCCUGGGCUCAACCUGGGAAUGGCAUUGGAUACUGGCGAGCUAGAGUCAGGUAGAGGGUGGUGGAAUUCCCGGUGUAGCGGUGAAAUGCGUAGAGAUCGGGAGGAACAUCUGUGGCGAAGGCGGCCACCUGGACCAUGACUGACGCUGAGGCACGAAAGCGUGGGGAGCAAAC
rnacentral:rRNA from 1 species